rnacentral:rRNA from 1 species
GACGUAGGGCGCGAGCGUUGUCCGGAUUUAUUGGGCGUAAAGAGCUCGUAGGCGGCUUGUCGCGUCGACUGUGAAAACCCGCGGCUCAACUGCGGGCCUGCAGCCGAUACGGGCAGGCUAGAGUUCGGUAGGGGAGACUGGAAUUCUCGGUGUAGCGGUGAAAUGCGUAGAUAUCGAGAGGAACACCUGCGGCGAAGGCGGGUUGCUGGGCUGACACUGACGCUGAUGCGCGAAAGCUAGGGGAGCGAACGGG